AUUUUUAUUAAGUACUUUUUGUGUCACGGGUUAUUAAUUUAUUUUUUUAUAUCUACAUCUCGAAAUUAAAAGAUCAAGUUAUUCUGUAUUUUUCUGUCGAAAAAUAAAAGUUAAAGCUUAAUUAGUAUUGAUACGGUAUUCGGGUUUAAGGAUAUCUAGUUUUUAUUAAAAAAAUAUUUUAGUUUAUCGGUUUUAUGUUUAAUUUAAAAAUUUAAAAUUUAGUGGACUACAAUUACUUAGGGAUGAGCUUAGGGGUUAAAUUAUUAUAACAUAUUUUAAAUUAAUAGUUUUAAUAAGGUUUAAAAUUAUCCUUUGUUUAAUUAUAUAUCUUUUAAUAUAAUAGUAAAUUUAAUUUUGUUUAACACAAAAAUAAAAGUUAAUUAAAAUAUAUACCAUUAAUUUUAAAUUAUAAUAUUAGUAGAAUUAUAUUUUUAUUUAAAAAUAUUAUAGUUAAUGGCUAGAAACUCGACUUUAUUUUAUGGACUGUUUACCAAAAACAUUUCUUUAAUAUUAUUUUUAAAGUAAUACCUGCCCACUGUGAAAAUGAAGGGCCGCGGUAUAUUGACUGUGCUAAGGUAGCGUAAUCAUUAGCCCUUUAAUUAAGGGAUAGAAUGAAGGGUUUAACCGUGAAAUAUUUUCUUUGCUUUUAAAGUAUCAAAUUUAAGAUUAGAAUUAAAAUGUUCUAAAGUUUUUAAAAGACGAUAAGACCCUAUAGAAUUUUAUUGUAUCUGUCUUAGUAAACUUUGGGGGAAGAUUACUAAAACAGAUACAAAUUAGUUGGGGCAACUUAAGAAUAUAAAUAAUUUCUUUCAAUUUUUAUAAAUAUUUUAAUUAAAAUCUUAAAUUUUAAAAAUUAAUUAAUUACCUUAGGGAUAACAGCGUUAUCAUUUUUGAGAGCCCGAAUCGACAAAGUUUAUUGCGACCUCGAUGUUGAAUUAAGAAUUCUUAAGGGGGCAGCGUUUCAUUAGAGAUAGUCUGUUCGACUAUAAAAUUCUUACAUGAUUUGAGUUCAAACCGGCGUGAGCCAGGUUGGUUUCUAUCUUUAAAAAUAAAUUUUUAUUACUAGUACGAAAGGACCGU
rnacentral:rRNA from 1 species